AUGAGGAGGCCACCGCCAAAAUCCUAUCGGUCCGCAUCAUUGAUGAUCGUGGAGGCAGUGUGGUCUUCAGUGGCGGACAGGUGAAAGUAUGCGUACAGAACAAGUUGGUGCUGACUGGAAAGUGGGAUGGGGACUUGUAUCCCGUCUGCUACAGCAGUGGAGGUACGGGCGCUCUGAAGUGGAUGCAGCGUGAAGACAACAGGAUACCUUCUGGUGGUGAUGCAGUGUGUGCUGCCAUGGGUAUCGGAGCUGAACAUGC
rnacentral:lncRNA from 1 species